rnacentral:misc_RNA from 1 species
GAUGAAGAACGUAGCGAAAUGCGAUACUGGGUGUGAAUUGCAGAAUCCCGUGAACCAUCGAGUCUUUGAACGCAAGUUGCGCCUCAAGCCAUUAGGUUGAGGGCACGUCUGCCUGGGCGUCACAUAUCGUUGCCUGAUGCCAGUUUCCUCGUGAUGGGUGACUGUGCAGGGCGAAUGAUGGCUUCCCGUGAGCAUUGUUGCCUCAUGGUUGGUUGAAAAUUGAGUCCUUGGUAGGGAGCGCCGUGAUAGAUGGUGGUUGAGUGACGAACGAGACCCAAUCAUGUGAGACCCCUACCGAAUUUGGCCUUCAUGACCCACAUGCGUCUUUGGAACGCUCAUGACGAGACCUCAGGUCAGGCGGGGCUACCCGCUGAGUUUAAGCAUAUCAAUAAGCGGAGGA